rnacentral:sRNA from 1 species
AUUGGUAGCCAAUGACAUACUCAACCACAGAGGCUUUGUGCAGAAGAAGCUGUGCAACCGGUACAAUGACAGAACUGUGCAGAGAUAUUUCAGUUUUAACACCAGUUUUGUUGGUACUUUGACCAAUUUGGUCCAUGGAGAACAGUGUGCUAGAUAUCAGAUCACACCCAUCCCAGGCACUAAUGCCUUUCUUGGCCUGGUGAACAACACUUGUGAUACAGCCACUGCCUUCUGUCCCUGUAGCAUGGU